AUAGGGCUGUCUCUUCACGUUAGGCAUAACUUCCCAGGGGCCGAUAUUAUUCCUUAGGGAGCCGUCCCUGUCUCGGUCUGAGGACUUUGGCAUAUGGUGCCCACCUGCUUUUGCGGGCCACAUAGGGAUGUAUUCUGUCGACGGUCGUGAAGGCUCUAUU
rnacentral:other from 1 species